AAAUAUUGAGGACCUGGGUUCAAUUCCCAUCACC
rnacentral:tRNA from 12 species